UCAGGUGCUCAACUCCUAUUU
rnacentral:miRNA from 1 species